rnacentral:rRNA from 1 species
CCUACGGGAGGCAGCAGUGAGGAAUAUUGGUCAAUGGGCUAAGGCCUGAACCAGCCAAGUCGCGUGAGGGAAGACGGUCCUAUGGAUUGUAAACCUCUUUUAUAGGGGAAUAAAGGUAUCCACGUGUGGAUAUUUGCAUGUACCCUAUGAAUAAGCAUCGGCUAACUCCGUGCCAGCAGCCGCGGUAAUACGGAGGAUGCGAGCGUUAUCCGGAUUUAUUGGGUUUAAAGGGUGCGUAGGUUGUUUUUUAAGUCAGCGGUGAAAGUUUGUGGCUCAACCAUAAAAUUGCCGUUGAAACUGGAAGACUUGAGUGUGUUUGAGGUAGGCGGAAUGCGUGGUGUAGCGGUGAAAUGCAUAGAUAUCACGCAGAACUCCGAUUGCGAAGGCAGCUUACUAAGCCAUAACUGACACUGAAGCACGAAAGCGUGGGGAUCAAACAGGAUUAGAUACCCCAGUAGUC